rnacentral:tRNA from 1 species
GCCAGCAUGGCUCAGUGGUUGAGCAUCAACCUAGGAACUAGAAGGUCAGGGUUCAAUUCCCGGUCAGGGCA